AGAGUUUGAUCAUGGCUCAGGACGAACGCUGGCGGCGUGCUUAACACAUGCAAGUCGAACGGAAAGGCCCUGCUUGCAGGGUGCUCGAGUGGCGAACGGGUGAGUAACACGUGGGUGAUCUGCCCUGCACUUCGGGAUAAGCCUGGGAAACUGGGUCUAAUACCGGAUAGGACUCCGAGAUGCAUGUCUUGGGGUGGAAAGUUUUUAACGGUGUGGGAUGGGCCCGCGGCCUAUCAGCUUGUUGGUGGGGUGAUGGCCUACCAAGGCGACGACGGGUAGCCGGCCUGAGAGGGUGUCCGGCCACACUGGGACUGAGAUACGGCCCAGACUCCUACGGGAGGCAGCAAUGGGGAAUAUUGCACAAUGGGCGCAAGCCUGAUGCAGCGACGCCGCGUGGGGGAUGACGGCCUUCGGGUUGUAAACCUCUUUCACCAUCGACGAAGGCCCGGUUUCGGCUGGGUUGACGGUAGGUGGAGAAGAAGCACCGGCCAACUACGUGCCAGCAGCCGCGGUAAUACGUAGGGUGCGAGCGUUGUCCGGAAUUACUGGGCGUAAAGAGCUCGUAGGUGGUUUGUCGCGUUGUUCGUGAAAUUCCCUGGCUUAACUGGGGGCGUGCGGGCGAUACGGGCAGACUGGAGUACUGCAGGGGAGACUGGAAUUCCUGGUGUAGCGGUGGAAUGCGCAGAUAUCAGGAGGAACACCGGUGGCGAAGGCGGGUCUCUGGGCAGUAACUGACGCUGAGGAGCGAAAGCGUGGGGAGCGAACAGGAUUAGAUACCCUGGUAGUCCACGCCGUAAACGGUGGGUACUAGGUGUGGGUUUCCUUCCUUGGGAUCCGUGCCGUAGCUAACGCAUUAAGUACCCCGCCUGGGGAGUACGGCCGCAAGGCUAAAACUCAAAGGAAUUGACGGGGGCCCGCACAAGCGGCGGAGCAUGUGGAUUAAUUCGAUGCAACGCGAAGAACCUUACCU
rnacentral:rRNA from 1 species